AAUGAACGUUGGCGGCGUGGAUUAGGCAUGCAAGUCGUGCGGAAAGGCCCUUCGGGGUACUCGAGCGGCGAAAGGGAGAGUAACGCGUGGAUCAUCUGCCCUCAGGACCGGGAUAGCCAAGGGAAACUUUGGGUAAUACCGGAUAAUGUCUCAGGACUAAAGGUGUAAGUCCGCAUGGGGAUGAGUCCGCGUCCUACUAGCUAGUUGGUGAGGUAAUGGCUCACCAAGGCGACGAUGGGUACGGGUGUGAGAGCAUGACCCCGCUCACUGGGACUGAGACACUGCCCAGACACCUACGGGUGGCUG
rnacentral:rRNA from 1 species